AAUCAACGCUGGCGGCGUGCCUAACACAUGCAAGUCGAACGGGAAAGUGGAGCAAUCCAUGAGUAUAGUGGCGACCGGGUGAGUAACACGUGACUAACCUACCUUCAAGUGGGGGAUAACCUCGGGAAACCGGGGCUAAUACCGCAUAAUAUCUCUGUUAUGAGAAAGCAGGGAUCAAAGGAGCAAUUCGCUGGAAGAGGGGGUCGCGGCUGAUUAGCUAGUUGGUGGGGUAAUGGCCCACCAAGGCUUUGAUCGGUAGCCGGCCUGAGAGGGCGCACGGCCACACUGGAACUGAAACACGGUCCAGACUCCUACGGGAGGCAGCAGUGGGGAAUUUGCGCAAUGGGGGAAACCCUGACGCAGCAACGCCGCGUGGAGGAUGAAGUCCCUUGGGACGUAAACUCCUUUCGACCGGGAAGAUUAUGACGGUACCGGUGGAAGAAGCCCCGGCUAACUUCGUGCCAGCAGCCGCAGUAAG
rnacentral:rRNA from 1 species